CCUCUUGCCAUCGGAUGUGCCCAGAUGGGAUUAGCUUGUUGGUGGGGUAACGGCUCACCAAGGCGACGAUCCCUAGCUGGUCUGAGAGGAUGACCAGCCACACUGGAACUGAGACACGGUCCAGACUCCUACGGGAGGCAGCAUG
rnacentral:rRNA from 1 species